AUUGAACGCUGGCGGCAGGCUUAAAACAUGCAAGUCGAACGAGUGGCGGACGGGUGAGUACUGCUUGGGAAUCUAGCUUAUGGAGGGGGAUAACUACGGGAAACUGUAGCUAAUACCGCGUACCAUAGGAUGAGCCCAAGUGGGAUUAGCUAGUAGGUGGGUUAACGGCUCACCUAGGCGCCGAUCCCUAGCUGGUCUGAGAGGCUGACCAGCCACACUGGAACUGAGACACGGUCCAGACUCCUACGGGAGGCAGCAGUGGGUAAUAUUGCACAAUGGGCGCAAGCCUGAUGCAGCCAUGCCGCGUGUGUGAAGAAGGUCUUCGGGUUGUAAAGCACUUUCAGCGGGGAGGCGUUACCCGCAGAAGAAGCACCGGCGAACGCCGUGCCAGCAGCCGCGGUAAUAC
rnacentral:rRNA from 1 species